UGUACACACCGCCCGUCGCUACUACCGAUUGAAUGGCUCAGUGAGGCCUCCGGACUGGCUCAGGGAGGUUGGCAGCGACCACCCCGAGCCGGAAAGUUCGUCAAACUCGGUCAUUUAGAGGAAGUAAAAGUCGUAACAAGGUUUCCGUAGGUGAACCUGCGGAAGGAUCAUUA
rnacentral:rRNA from 1 species